rnacentral:rRNA from 1 species
GAUGAACGCUGGCGGCGCGCCUAACACAUGCAAGUCGAACGGGAUCUAUUAGGAGCUUGCUCUUGGCAGAUCCAGUGGCGGACGGGUGAGUAACACGUGAGCAACCUGCCUUUCAGAGGGGGCUAACGUCCGGAAACGGACGCUAAUACCGCAUAACAUAUUCUUGUCGCAUGGCAGGGAUAUCACAGGAGCAAUCCGCGGAAAGAUGGGCUCGCGCCCGAUUAGAUAGUUGGCGGGGUAACGGCCCACCAAGUCUACGAUCGGUAGCCGGACUGAGAGGUUGAGCGGCCACAUUGGGACUGAGACACGGCCCAGACUCCUACGGGAGGCAGCAGUGGGGAAUAUUGCACAAUGGGGGAAACCCUGAUGCAGCGACGCCGCGUGAGUGAAGACGGCCCUCGGGUUGUAAAGCUCUGUGAUAGGGGACGAUAAUGACGGUACCCUGUCAGAAAGCCACGGCUAACUACGUGCCAGCAGCCGCAGUAAUAC